rnacentral:ncRNA from 2 species
CGUAACCACAAGGGGAGCGUAAAGCUGAGAGUGAACAGUUCGCUGUUCUGACCCUUCGAACCUGUUAGAUAAUUCUAGCGCAGGAAUGUGGAUUGAAUAGGUG